GGCUAGAGAAACUGAACUCAGGUGUAAUAAACCACAGUUUUAACAAACACUUCUUCACACAGGGACAUGUAGUUUUGGAUUUUAUUUUCCCUUAAUAAUAAAAACCUUCAUUUAAAAACUGCAUGUUGUGUUUACUUGUGUUAUCUUUGACUAAUAUUUAAAUUUGUUUGAUGAUCUGAAACAUUAAAGUGUGACAAACAUGCAAAAAAAUAAGAAAUCAGGAAGGGGGCAACACUUUUUCACACCACUGUAUCUUGACUCCAUAUAGUGGUCAUCUUGGGAAAAUCCCAGGUAUUUUGAGCAGUAGGAUUAUAAAAAAAAUAUGUGCUAAUAUAAAAUUGACUUAAGUAGCCUAUAUAAAAUUGCAAAAUCUAUCUUUCGGUACUUUUUUACUUAAGUACAUAAAAAAAAAUUGACUUUUGUACGUUCACUUGAGUAAAAUUGAAAAAGGAAUACUUUUACUUUUACUGAAUAAUAUUUUAUUAUACGUAUCUGUACUUUUACUCAAGUACUUGAUUUGUGUACUUCGUCCACCACUGCUAUUCACAAACUAAUUUUAUGUCCAUUUACAGUAUUCGCAAACUUCGGAAAACAAAAACACCGUGUUAGAAUAAUAUUACAGAUAAGCUGAAGUAUUAUCAUACACUGAAUCUCUCCUACAAGCAUCGAACCACCUCCCACUGAACUGCUAUUAAUCUACACAUCACCAUCAGAGGACAAGGUUCAAUCAAGACUGCAGAUAAACCAGCGUCCAGCGAGGAGCAUCUCAGUUGAGCAAGAAACGAAAGAGAAAAACCAUCAAGACCAUUUAGUACACUUACAGGAGAACAAGAAAAUGUACAAUCAAGGACCAACAGUUGGAAGAAUAAAUCUUGCAUUCACUGACCCUCAGGAUGAACAGGAUCAUCUGGAGAAGUCAAGGAUGGGUCAGUCUGUGCCACCACCAUACUAUCCCAACGCAGAAUACGAGAUUCCAAGAGUCAAUCCCAUCUCUUCUGGAUAUCCAAACCAACCGUACAGAGCUCCAGGAGUCCCUCAGGGCCCGUAUGCCCAGCAGUCAUAUCCAGGGAUGGCUAUGUAUCCCCAAGCAGCAUAUGUUGGUCAAACUGGGGUCACAGUUCAGCCCACUGUGUUCAUGACCCCCACACCGCAAGCCACUCCAAUGCCAGAUUACAUGUGCUACUCUAUCUUUACCUUGCUGUGCUGCUGUCUACCUCUGGGCAUCGCCGCUACCAUCUGCUCCUGCAAUACUCGAGAUGCUAACUUGUCUGGACAGCGAGAGUUAGCGAUGAGCAGCUCCAGAGCGGCGUUGAUCCUGAACAACGUGGCUCUCUGUUUCGGCAUUCUAAUCAUCACUGCAGCCACUAUUGUAAUACUUUAUGUGUACGAAGUAUUUGAUUGAACAGAUGUUGUAUCCUACUUCAAAUGAACCUAUUCUCAUACUGUAACUCGUCAAUGACUUUGUGGAAGAAAUGACAAGUAUUUUCAAGACCUUCUAAGGAAAUAAAGUACAAUUAAGCUUUUUUUAUUUCA
ensembl:lncRNA